AAAUGUGCCCUGCAGCAUGCCCUGAAAGUUAAUAAAGCUGGGUUACCUGGAUGGAGAAUGCACUUCUAGCAAUUCCCUCCGUCAUCCAGAGAAGACUCUAUGAUCAGUGCUUCUGCUGAUUGCAACUUCCCACUCAUGAGGAGAGAGGGUCCUGUCCCAAAGUCACUGGACUAAGUCUCCAACCAGGAUUAGUCUCUCAGAACUGUCUCUUUGGUUGUUACAAUGUUCUGGGCAGGAAUCGUACAGAUGAUGGAAGCCAGAACAUCUCCUUUGGCGCACUAGAGGGCACUGGAGUAUUGAAGAAGGAAGGUGCUAUAUAACAGACAUUCCAGAAAAUAAUGAAUGUUUCCUGGUAAAUUAAAUCUUCAUAGUAAGGCCCUAGAAGACUUCACAGAAUGUCCUCCCCUUCUCUCCCAUCCCUGGUUACAAGGGACUGCUUGGGGAAUACAUCUACUUUUUUUUUUUUUUUUUCUUAAACCCACCACUCUAUUAUGGUGGAAAUGCUUUGUAAAAGAGAUGGAACUUCCAGGUUAUUUUGAAGAUGGUCAGAUUCUGGCUUAGUCUGUUGGUCUCUGGAUGUUCCUCUGAGUGCCUUGUCCAGGAAUGUUUUCCCUUAUGGGCUUUGCCAGCUGUAUUUAUUAGGGCUGAUAGAAAAUUUAUCAAAACUAAGCAAACAUGCAAAAAUGUUCAUGUUAAGUAUCUGCUUUACUAGGUAAACAAUUGCUUUCUUUUUGUUUAAAAAGCAACAUUUUGUUGGGUUGGUUGCUUUUUUUUGUGGUAAGGAAAAUAUUGAACUCUUUGUUUUGGCUUUGAGCUGAAAAGUUUGGGGUUAUUUGGUUUAACUCUCCCCGCAGUAUUUUAUGAUCUUGCUGGGUCAUGGUUGGAGCAAUCGUCAUUGAUUUUGCUUGGCCCUGAUCCACUGAUAGCUUAGAUGAAGAGGACCCAGGCCUUAAACUGGUAAUGGAAGUGGGCUGAGAGCCAAUGGAGGCAUUGGAGCGUAUAGAUGACAUGUUCAUGGCUUGUCCCAUUGAGAAUGCAAACAACUUAACGCUGCACCAGCUGGAGUCUCUGCAUUGCAUACACAUUCAGUCCUAGGUGCAGUGCAUUCCAAUAAUGUAGUGUAGCGGUGACAAAUGAGUAGAUCGCUGUGGACAAAUCUUCAUCCAGGAGGAAGGGGCAAAAUUUCAUUAGCUGCAGAUGAAACCAUCUUUGUCAUUAAUGCUACUUGAUCAUUAAGAGAUUAGUGAUGAGUUGCAUAGGACCCUGAGUCUUUGCACCAAUCUACAGAAUGUGGAGGCUUCCUACUUCUACUUUCACGAGCCUGGAAAGUGCAGAUCUCUUUUACAGGAGGUUAUUUCGAUAUUUUUAAGGGCUUCUUGAGCUGCAAUGGCUGUGAUGGGGCAAACCCCAUCAGGGUGAAGUGUUUCAUAAAGUGUGGGCUAAUUUUUAGAGUUUCUGCUUCUGCAAGUUUCUUUGUUCAGUACACCUUUGCUAUAAUGAACCUGUUGGGAUCCAAACCUUUUCUUUUAUUGCCAGGGCUUUUUUAUAGCAAAAGGGAAAUCAAAAUGGACCAUAAACUGUUGGAGUGAGUUAAUGAGGUAGCUUUAGAUAAAGGUGUUAGCUUUAUUAAUAAUAAUUAUAAUAACUAAGGCUACAAGUUGGUCACAGAGGGCGAUUUUUAGGUGACCUCCGCACUGUCAGCCCCCACAGCAGCAGGGUUCCAGCUUCAGUGGAUAAAAUUGUGCACACAUGUGCAACAUCCUUUCCCGCCCCCCUCCCCCCAACGAUUGUUGGGAUCCAGGGUCCGGAUUCAUUAUAGGCAAAAGUUUGUAAUAAUGAAGUGUGUUCUAGCGAGAGUGUACUUGAUCUAGUUGAGCUUUCCUAAAUUCCAGUUUGCAUUGACUGGGGAUCUGGACCUUCAUUUCUCUUU